AGUGAACGCUGGCAGUAGGCCUAACACAUGCAAGUCGAACGGCAGCACAGUAAGAGCUUGCUCUUACGGGUGGCGAGUGGCGGACGGGUGAGGAAUACAUAGGAAUCUACUUUUUCGUGGGGGAUAACGUAGGGAAACUUACGCUAAUACCGCAUACGACCUACGGGUGAAAGCAGGGGAUCUUCGGACCUUGCGCGAUUGAAUGAGCCGAUGUCGGAUUAGCUAGUUGGCGGGGUAAAGGCCCACCAAGGCGACGAUCCGUAGCUGGUCUGAGAGGAUGAUCAGCCACACUGGAACUGAGACACGGUCCAGACUCCUACGGGAGGCAGCAGUGGGGAAUAUUGGACAAUGGGCGCAAGCCUGAUCCAGCCAUACCGCGUGGGUGAAGAAGGCCUUCGGGUUGUAAAGCCCUUUUGUUGGGAAAGAAAAGCAGCAGGUUAAUACCCCGCUGUUCUGACGGUACUCAAAGAAUAAGCACCGGCUAACUUCGUG
rnacentral:rRNA from 1 species